UUCGAUGAAAAUAGUACAAUUAUAUCAUAAAUCUAAAAUAAAUUUGUAUUUUGAUCAUUCCAAUUUGUAGCAAAAGUCUUUGACAGAAGUACUGAUGGAAAAAUUUGAAAAAGUGCAGUAUGAAAAAAUGAAAUAUAAGUCGUCACUAAUACCACAUGUAUCAACAAAAGAAAGGCAAUUGUUAACACUAGCCAGCAAACACUCGCCAAGUGAAAGGACGACUGAAAUGGAAAUGAAAGAAAGGCAAAUGUUAAACACAGUAGCCAGCAAACACUUUCAAAGUGAAAGGACGACUGGAAUGGAAAGUUCCCCACCUCGUAAAGGAGUGUUGCACAUUAACACUCCACACAGUUUGAAUAAAGAUGAAAUAGAGGAAAUGUUAAAAUGGACACCAUUUAUUGACGAGGAUAUUACAGUCGAAUUUGAUGAGAAAGGCUAAUUUUAUUGUUUCCAAAAUCGUGAUCUUUCGGAGUAUACAUAAAGAAGGAUGGCUAAUGACCAUUUCUUGACUUCACCAAUAAUUCUUUUUGUUAUCUUUUAUGUCAGAUUUCAUAACAACUCACUAUAAUGUUAUGACGUUAAAAUAAAUAUUAUACCUUUGGGAUAUUUACAGAUUUUUUAGUAGGUAUCCCGAUGAAUAUAUAAUUGCAUAAAUGUAUAUCAAAAAUAAUUUAUAACUUUUGAAAUUAAGUGAAUGUAAUUUUUAAACUGGAACGAAUAUUAAACAUUUUGUUGUCUAAAAAAGAAAUGACGAACGAAACAUGUAUAAACGCCCGUAAAUACUAAGCUUUACAAAAUUUCAUGUUUUUUCUCCUGUCCUUUUCUUAAUAUAAUGUAUGAAAUUUAUUUCAGUUUAGCUAGAGAUUUUUUUAGAAAUAUUGGUUAGUUUUAGUUGAAGUUUUCUGUAUUUAUCAUACUUAUACACUUUUGUGUAAAAAAAAAAAUGUCAUUUUAGUUUAGCUUUUUUACGUUAUUGAAAUUGAUCAAUCAAAAAGAUUUAGUUUUGAAAGGAAACAUUUUGUUAUUGACAAUUCUGGUUAUUGAAUCAUUCAUGAAUUUUCUUGUCUCUUUACAAAAUUGAUUAUACUUUGUGUGGACUACUUUAUGUUGGUCGACAAACUUUGCGUAAGAGAAUGAAUAAACACCGGUCUGAUAAUUAAGAUCCGCAAUUUAAGUUUCUUUAUAACUUUUUUAAUCAGCCGGACCAUGAUUCUUCUUUAUCUAUGAAAUUACGCAUCAUCGAGAAAAAUUUUCAACUCACCAAAAGUACUCUUUUCGGAAAAGAUAGAGAAAAUUUCUGGAUAAGGGAACUAGGUACUGGAAUGUCAUAUGGUUGCAAUGAUAACAUCGAAGGAAUAGGAAAUUUGUCAAAUUCAGCGUUCAGUGAUGUAAAUGUAAAGAGCUUAUUACACCACCGUAGUCAUAGUCAUGGUCAAAUAGAAUAUAUUUGAUAUCAAAACAUGUACAAAUAUACAUUGCAAAUUGCAUGUGUUGAAUGAACUUUAAUCUCAUAAAACUAUAUGUCAUAGUUACAUAUAAAAUUGAUAUUUACAAUAACAAAGUCUAAUUGGCAUGUCCGAUUUAAUCAAUUGAGUAUAAAGUUUUUAAAGUAUAAAAAUUGUAGAACCUCGAAUUUUACCAAAAGCGGGGAUUGCUAGCUUUAAGGUUUGUCAAUAGCCACUUUCGGCCGUUGAAGCUAUGUACAUUUGUAUACAAUUCCGAAAACAUAUUUCAUUUAAGUUGUAAUUUAUGCUAAUUUAACUGUCACAUAUAUUUUUUUUAAACAAUUGAACAAAGCAAACAAAUGCUCACGCAAUGAAAUGAAUAUAACUGAAAAAUCAGGGUAUUCAAAACAAGCUCGAAUAAAGGUUGCACCUUGUAAAUACAGCUGUUUCAGAAACCACGCCUCUUUUGGGGAGAUAUAUAAUAUUCAUAGAUAUUUCAUUUUGUUUACGAACUAGUUCCCAGAUAUGAUCUCUAUGUUUCAUCUCAUAGAGACAUAACUUGGGAAUGUUACCAGUCUAAGUGCACAUGGUAGGCGGAUGAAUUGAUAUCUGAGAAAGACCUAAAAUGAAGUAAGGGGUAGUGCAGAAUUUUAGUAUAAGGUUAAAUUCUAAUAAGUUCGGGGCAUAUAAAUGUUGAAAAUAUGCCGCACAGGUACUUAUGCAUCCCGCCAACGUGUUGUUGUGCUGUGGUAAUAUUGUAUUCUUGUUUUUCAUUUUGUUUAUGUGCUUUAUUAUGCCGUUUUGAUUUUUUUUUUUGUUGACAUUUUUGUUUGUUUUUAUAGUGAUUAAGAUAAUAACACAAUGUUGACUGCUGUACCCUUAUUUUUGACAUUUUUACCUUUUAAUUUUUGUUCACACAUUGUUUUCAAUAUAAUUGAAUUGUAUUCGACUGUCAUACAAGUGAGAGGUUUAGCUAGCUAUAAAACCAGGUUUAAUCCACCAUUUUUAAAAUAAGGAAAUGCCUGUACCAAUUCAGGAAUAUAACAGUUGUUUUCCAUUCGUUUGAUGUGUUUGAGCUUUUAAUUUUGCCAUUUAAUAAAUUUGCUAAAUGACUUUUUGUUUCGAAUUUUCCCCCGAGUUCGGUAUGUCUGUUAUUUUACUUUUAGGGUUCCACAAUAUGUUGCAAUAUGUUAGACUAACAUGUCUUGGGGUGCAAUCAGGUUUUAUUUUGCAAUGGGGUUGAUAUAGGGGUACUUUGAUGGCCCAAAAAGAAAGGAUGGGUUUACUUAGAACCCUUGGGUAUUUAAUGUUCUUCAUUUUCAAAUGAUUUUAACAGUUAUUGAUAGACACAUGGGGUCUUCAGUAAUUGCCAUGGGUUCAUAUGGCUAACCAAAAUGUCAAAGGGUCAAUGGUAAAUUGUUACCUUGACUUUUGACCUUGAACUUUUUUUCCAAUCUAUCCAAUAGGCAGAGUCCUAAGGGGUUUAUACUUAUUGGGAUUUUGUUUUGGGAGACAUCGAAACAUCAUCCUGGUUUUGCAUUGUUUGGAAAGACAUUUUGAUGCCAAUUUAAUUAGGAGGGGUUCAACCCUUAGGAUUAAAAACAAAAUUACGCAAAAUAUAGAUUGUGAUAUUCAAAUUGUCUUAUAUAGUGGUAGACAUCACUUGGAAUAAGGGACACAGUUUGAGAGAAUAAUCCAUGCAUGUUUGUACACUUAGAAUCUACAUGUAACGAUUAAUAAUCAAUUAUUUUACCUUUGAAAAACAAAGCCUAAGAAAACUAAUUAAUACAUGAAAAGAACUAAUGAAAAAUUGAGUUAUAUUUAAUUAUUUCGUUUUGAAGGUAAGUAUGCUGAGUAAUAAGGGAUGUUUGUUAUAACAAAGUAAGUUCGUUACUGUAAUGUUUGUAGUAUUGUACUUACAUCUUGAAAAAAAAUCUUCUACACAUCUCUUCAUAGGUUUUGUCUCAGAUACAAACAGAUAAGUUGCAACUUAUUGAGGUAAAUAUGAUCUAAGGCGGGUUGAUUUGUUCUCUUACGACACUUUUGGGUUUAAUUCUGUAUAAUAUGAUAUGUAUUAGAUAAUUAAAUAAAGGCAACAGUAGUAUACCGCUGUUUAAAAGUCUUAAAUCGAUUGACAGAAAACAAAUCCGGGUUACAAACUAAAACCGAGGGAAACACAUCAACUAUAAGAGGAAAACAACGAAACAACAGAAACACUGAAGUGCAACAAAAAACAAACGACAAUGCAACAUACAUAGAAACGAACUAUUAGAUAACAACUGCCAUAUUCAUGUCUUGGCACAGGACAUUUUAAGAAAAAAAUGGUGGGUUGAACCUGGUUUUGUAGCUAGCCAAACCUCGCGCUUUCUGGCAAUGCAGAUGGAACAGUAUAAGAUUUGAUUGAAUAAUCGUGGAUUGACUGCUAUCAAAAUUUCAAAUUUCUAUGUUUUAACAUUUACGAUAAUAUCAAACUUACACACACCUUUAUACUUAAAUGAAAUAAAAUACACUGUACAUUCGUUUGUUUGUUUUACACGUUUCUAUCUUGCAAAAUCGUUGCAUUAACUAUGUCCGCAGAUUAUAUCCUGUCCAUUAAAUUCUGUGACAAUUCUCAGCGCAUUUUUUGUAAUGUGCUUUUAUCCAACAAACUUUGCUCUUUAACAAAAUUCAUUGGCCUAUGUUUCCCCAACUUGCAGUUUGCACACGUCUUAUUAUUCAGCAUAAACAAUGCGGGAUUGAUCUGAAAUAAUCCCUAAAAUCGUAUAAAAAUGUUACAAUAAAUAUAUUUAUAUUUA